CCGAACACCCCAGGCCCACCCAUCGUCUACCUCUGGUUGUUUCAGUGAGCUUGACGAACUGAGAGUCUGAAACCAAUCCCGACGACGCCGCGCAUGCGCGCCUUCCCCUGGGGCAGAUAAGCUCACCGCGCCCAUAUCCCGUCACCCUGGAGCCCUAUCUCAUCCGCAGGCCGCGAAAUCGCCGCGCCGAUCCGCUGGCUGCCGCCGCGCUUUCCGUCUCGGCCGCUCGCCCCCGUGGCCUAUAAAAUGAAGCCCCGAGACCCCCUCGACCUCCACAACACCACGUUCUACUCCCAUCUUCCCCCUGGCUCCCAGGAGCUCGAAUUUCGUUAGCCGCCGCCGUCGUCAUCUCGAACUCCGGCAACGAUUUCCGUCGCUGUGAAGGAGCUCGGGAGCAUCCGCGGCAACGGGAGCCGAACACACCGGCGCUGCGGACGUCGCUCUGGUCGCUGUCCAACUUCGCCGGGACCAGCUGACCGGCGGUGGAGCUCCGUCACGUCUACCAGUAUCGCCUCCAAGCCUCGCCCAAACCAUCCGACGUCCUUUCACGACCGGAAUUGCAAAAUCCACUGCCGGCCACAUCAUAUUACGGAGAUUUAUCGUGAGAGUAUUUCGGAGACAAGAAAGAGUUAAUAGUUCAUCAAGAAAAGGCAAGUUACAUCUACAUGUCUGUCCCAUUUAUUUUUGCUAUACUAUUUUGAUUAUGAAAGUAGGAAUGCAUGUGAUAGUUUUAUUUUGUGAGCCAAGUAUUUUUAGAAAUGGCGAUGUUUUAUAUAGUUAUGUCCUAUGGUAGAAAUAAGCCGUAGGAACCCUACGUUGUAACCUUAGGUAAAUUUAUACUAGAUUAAGUUCUAGUAAAACUUUGAACUAUAUAGUUAUGCUUAGUCAUGCUAAAAUAAAAUCCAUUGUGGGGUUCAAAUGAAAUAAUGUUUACGAAAUAGAAAUGGUUUGUGAAAUGUGUUUAUCAAAUUAAAGUGUAAAAUUAUUUCAUCCUGGGCGGAGUGGUAUGAUGGGUCAUCGCGUGAGGAGCUGUGUGCUCAAAUUGGUUGGGUCCGCCGCCCAGGGAUCCCUAAGAGAGCAAGUUCAUGUUUAGAAUUGCUCAGUUGUUUCGUGCAACCACAUGUCAUAUGGACUCUGGCUUGGUUGAUUAUCUUGUGGAAACCUACUUGAGGACCAUCAUCGGUAUGAGACUUUGUGUCUAUUUUGGAACGGGCAUGCCUGGAAAUAAGUAGUUAGCCAUUUGGGAAAGACCUCGGCAUAACCUUCGGGUUGUGCCAUGUGGUGAAAGUGUGCAACCCCUGCAGGGUGUAGAACUAAUCGAUUAGCCGUGCCCACGAUUACGGGUGAAGCUGAGUAAACUUUACUUGAAGAUGUCUCUUCUCAACUUUGUCUUUCUAAACAUAAAUUGAAUUUCAAACCCUAUGUCCGUGUGUCGUUCAUAGGUGGGAUUUUGGGGAAAGCCCUGUGUUCGUGUGUCGCUCACGGGUACUUUCAUCUAUGCUAGUUGGACUGUGUGACCUCUAGUCAUAUAUUACUUGAUAAAAUUGUUUAUUAAAGAUAGGAUCAGUUAAAACUUUGGAAAUGUUAAAAUAUGGUUUAUUAAUGUAAAAUAUUGUUUUGCGCAAAUGUUAAACCCUAUAUCCAUUUCCUUUGAUAUCCCUAAGCAUGUAUAAAUAGGUAUAUUAUUGCAUUGGUGUAACUUGCCACACAUUCAAAGUGUUGACCACUCUCGUGGCUGCAACGUUUCAUGUUGCAGGUUGUUCCGGUGACAAGUGAGAUACGUUGUUAGGGUCACGAUGCUCCAGUCGAUUGCCUGUGGCACAUUUGCUGGAUUCGCCACUUUAUUUGUCUUCCGCUGUUCAUUUUGGCCUACGGGCAUUUAUGUAAUAAAUGACUAUGUAUUCGGAUUUGAUGCGUUGUAAUAAUGAUAUGACUAUGAUAUUUAUCUCGUGAA